rnacentral:lncRNA from 1 species
CUGGGACGGUGGGGUGAAAUGUCAGCUCGCCCGUUGCAGCGUCGGCUGAGGUCACCCACAGAUUAAAGAAAUCCCGGAUUAUCUCUCUUGAUGCUUGAGUUUUCUCCGUCUCUUGCUUUUAGUACAAAAUAGAUGGUCGUUUGGCUAGAUGUUGGUGUAACGAUUGUAGGAUCGAAACAAGUUUUCUGUUUCUGCUUAAGCAUAAAACCGGGGUAACGAUUAUUUCAUUUGAGCGUGGGAAGAACGCUUCAUAUAAAAAAAUCCUAAAUACGUCGAUGGGAUAUUUUCCGAGAACGUUCCGCAUCCCUGAGAUGGAACUCAGCCAACCAAGAAUGGAAAUUCACCUAGAGUCAUAAACGUCUCUCAACUUGCCGAGAUCAGCUGCCGUUCUUUUCGGGAGAGCAAAUGGGGCAAGAAAUCUGUGCAACUUAAACUUAUAACUAUUGCCCUCAAGAGCUGGUUUCGAAGAUUCAAAAGAUUUUUCUGUGUUCAACCCUGUAUGUGCCGAGCGUUUCUAAAGAGAAGUGCGGAUGAGAAAAUUGGUUACCAUCUUUUCCCAGAGGAAGAGGAAGAAACAAAGAAGUUACACCUGGAGGGAAGGAAAAAUUUUAUAAUCUCCAGUACAGGACAUGGAUUUCAAAAGACAUCACCGAGAGGUCUAGGCAAACACACAAAAGCUUUUGAAAUAGAGAAGCCUAUCACAUAUAAUGGUGAUAAAAGAUGGACUUGAACAAACCUCUUAAAUUUAGUUUGAGGGACAGUGGCUAGCAAUGUAUGAUCUCAGUGUUGUUACUGGAAACUUAAAAUAAUCUCUGACGCUCUGCGAUCCCUUAAACUGGCUGAAGAGUGGAGUGAGGGCCCUCCUGCUCUGACUGAAUUCCAGUUUGGAAAGUCAUAACCUUUCCUAUCCAUCCCCCAAUUUUCUGUGUCCUUCUCUCCCUACCCUCCCGGAGUGGGGUGACAGGGGAUGUGUCUACCAACUCUUUUGUACUGUACUCUCCCGAGCGCUUAGAACAGUGCUCUGUACAUAGAAAGUGCUGAAUGACCAUCAUUAAUUAAUAGAUUGAUUGUCUGAUAGAGUCAGUAGUCUUUCAUUGGCCUUCAAAUUGGCAGUCCUCCAAGAAGAAACUGCCAAACCCAAGUCCGUAGAAAAGGUCGUUCUUUAGACAUCUUGAGAUUCCCCUGGGUUCUUCUUUCGUCCACCCCAAGACUGGCAAAAUCAUUCUCUACAUCAGCCUUCCACAUCUAAAUGUAGUUUUGAUUCUCAAGGCUAUUGAGAGAUGAGGAGGGAGAUAAUCCCCUUCCCAAAAGCCUCGCGGCCAAGAAUCUUCGAACAGCUGUGCUGUGGGGAGGGGACACAGCUUCUGUAUUCCUCCGUCUGCACUAAAAUAAUACAUGAGCAUCCAUGAUUAUGAUCCUUAAUUAUUGUUUUAUAACUGACUUUUUAAAAGCCCGAUCUAGACCUCUGCAAGCUAGAGAGGAAGUCCUGGAGUGUCGACGUAUAGAAGCCAUUCACUGGUCAUUGAUUUUAUGCCGACAAAAUGCCAGGGCCUUUUUCGUCCUAGAAAUGUCUGUAAAUGCCAUCCUUUACUCACUGAAAAAUAGUUAUGAAUGUCGGCCAAGGUAACUUGAAUCUGAUACACAUUAUGACUAAGCGAAUGACCUAAGAGAAUGAAUUUAUGGAGGGUUUUUGGAUCCAACAGUUGGCUGCCUGGUGUAGGAAAGUUUAAAUAUUUUUAAAUGAUUUCUUUCCUCCUCUCCCUUUUCCUUCUUCUGUCCCUCCUUUCUUUCCAUUUCCACCUCCUCCCUCCCUUCCCCUUUCUUCAACUCCGGUCCCCAUCUCCCCCUCUUCCACUCUGAGGUGCCCUCACCCGAUUCUGGCCUCCGCGUAACUAGAGCCAAGAUCAUGGCUUUCGUCGUGACAGAUGGGACAGGAAACUGGAGCAUCGGGAAACCAAAGCCAAGCUUUCAUGAGAGUCCUUUGCCAGCCCCAAAUUCCACGUUGUCAAAAGUGAGCCCAUCCAUAACAGAGUUAUUGCUCUAAAUGGGGAAAGUAAGGAGUUCUGGAUUUUUGGAAAGGGCACAGGUUUGGGAUUCCAAUCCUGGCUCUACCACUUGCCUGCUGUAAUUUAAUUCUGCAAUUGAUUUAUUUCUAUUACUGUCUGUCUCCCCCUCUGGACUGUAAGAUUGUUAUGGGUGGGGACCGUUUCUAUUAUAUUGUUAUAUUGUACUCUCCCAAGCGCUUAGUAUUCAUUCAUUCAGUCAGUCGUAUUUUUUGAGCGCUUACUGUGUGCAGAGCACUGUACUAAGCGCUUGGAAAGUACAAUUCGGCAACAAAUAGAGACAAUCCCUACCCAUCAACGGGCUCACAGUCUAGAAGCGGGCAGGACAGACAUCAAAAUGGGCAUCAAUAGCAUCAAUAUAAAUAAAUAGAAUUAUAGAUAUAUACACAUCAUUAAUAAAAUAAAUAGAAUAAUGAAUAUGUACAUAUAUACACAAGUGUUGUGGGGUGGGAAGGGGGGUAGAGUAGAGGGAGGGGUCAGGGCGAUGGGGAGGGGAGGAGGAGCAGAGGAAAAGGGGGGUUAAUCUGGGAAGGUACUCUGCACACAGUAAGAGCUCAAUAAAUACAACUGACUGACUGCUGUAAGACUACGGGCAAGUGACUUAACUUCUCCAUGCCUCAGUUUCCUCUGUAAUGUGGGAACUAAGUAUCCUCUCUCCCCUAACCCCUCCCAUAGACUGAGCCCCCUCCCCACCCUCCCAGUGACACAGGGACUGUGUCCGAUCUGAUUAUAUUGGAUUUACUUGACAAUGACCUUUAUAUUUACUCAUGUUAUGCUUGACAUAAAAUAAUUGUCAUAUUUGUUUUGCACCUAUUAUUGAGUAGAUACAAUACAUUCAGUUCAGAUGUAAUCUCUGUUCCCUUGGGUAGUUCAAAGCUAAAGGGGGAGAAAGGAAACAGGAAACUGAGGCACAGUGAAGCAAGUCACUUAACUUCUCUGUGCCUCAGUUCCCUCAUCUGUAAAAUGGGAUGAAGACUGUGAGCCCUACAUGGGACAACCUGAUUUCCUUGUAUCUACCCCAGCACUUAGAACAGUGCUUGGCACAUAGUAAGCACUUAACAAAUACCAUCAUUAUUAUUAUUACAAUACCACAAUAAAGAGUGACAACCCCUGCCCGCAAUAAUAAUGAUGGCAUUUGUUAAGUGCUUAUUAUGUGCCAAGCACACAUUGAACGCACAGCCUAGAGUUCAUGGUUAGCUCUAGUUAGCUCGUUAUGGUCAGGGAACGUGUCCUAAUUCUGUUGCACUUUACUCUCCCAAGUGCUUAGUACAGUGCUCUGCACAUAGUAAGUGCUCAAUAAAUACCAGUGAUUGACUAAUUGAUUGAUAGGACCUAGGCUUUUGACUCCUAGCUUUUUUUUCCAUUUGGCCAUCCUGCUUCUCAUAGUAAACUCCUGACAAAUACCACUGUUAUGAUUGUUAUUAUUGUCCUAUCAGCUCUGCCGCUGGUAAAUAUUUGAACACCUUUUCUUAUCCGAUUUUCUGGUAAAUAUUUGAACACCUUUUCUUACCCGAUUUUCAAUUUCCAAAUGGAAAGAAUGUGUACUACCUAGCUCGCUAAAGUGGUGAUCUGCACACAGUAAACCCUCAGUAAAUACUAUUGAUUGAUUAUAGAGAGGUAAUAAAUAAUUUUCAGAAAGGUCUUUGACAGCUCUGUAUGAGAGGAACAACCAAAAGUAAUGUGGUACUUAACCCGAUUUUGUAGUUCAUGAUUAUUAAUAAUUUAUUUCCUUCUGUGAUGGGUAUUUUUUUUUCAUGCAGGUCUUCGCUCUUUCUUUAAGUCCUUUGUCUAGGAUUUGGUAUUAGUGUGAAUCAGUUAUUAAAAAUUAAAGAGGAGCAGAUUGUCCUUAACAUGAAGCAGUCUGGUGAUAUGAAUGUAGUUUUAAUAUCUUCCACUGGAUUCUGCAAAACGUCACGGUUCUUUUCAUAAUAAUAAUAAUGAUAUUUGUUAAGAACUCACUAUGUGCCAGGCACUGUACUAAACACUGAUACGUACAAACAAAUCUGGUUGAAUACAAUCCCUGUCUCACAUGGGGCUCAAAGGAUGAAGUAACUGUCCCACUUGGGGCUGACAGAUGAGGUAACUGAGGCCCAGGGAAGUGAAGCGACUUGCCCGAGGUUACACUGCAGACAAGUGGAAGAGCUGGGAUUAGAACUCGUGACCUUCUGACUCUCUAGCCACUACACCAUGCUGCUUCCAUAUGAUAAUACCACAAUCCCCGUGCCAUGUGGGGCUCACAAUCUCAAACCCCAUUUUACAGAUGAGGUAACUGAGGCACAGAGAAGUGAUUUGAACAUGGUCACACAGCAAAGACGUGGUGAGGUUGGGAUUCAAUACUAGAAAUUAAUUAAUACAGAUCGUGUAAUAGUCUUGGGCACCCAAGGCGGUUACACUGAAAAGCAAGUGGGCAUGGUACCAGGGAAUAAUAGUAAUAUCCAUUCUGUGCUUAAGGGUCUGGGUGCUGAAGGGUUUCUAGCUAAUGAAAGCAGUAAGCUGAUUUAUUCUUGGAGUCAAGAAGUAAUGUGGGAAAAAAAAAAUCCUAAUUAGCCGUAGCCUCCAUUCGAGAACAACAGCUGUUCCACGCUCCCGAGAGAAGAGAUCCGGGGACUGAAGGCAAUUUAAUACCAGGUGCCUGCGCAGAGACUUUUCUAGAUAGAAAGUGUGGGUCCUCUAGUCCGAAAUGUCAGAGGCAGAAAACAGCCUGGAAUGAUAGAAGGGAGAGAAAAUCACCCCCUCUGGGUUCUAAACUCAUUAAGGGCAGGGUCCGUGUCUGCUAAUUCUGUUGGCCUGCACUUUCCCAAGUGCUUAGUACAGUGCUCUGCACAUAGGUGCUCAAAAAUACCACUGAUUGAUUGAUUGAUUUAUACUGACCUAACCGGAGAUUAAAGCAGCAUGGCCUAGUGGAAAUGGCCUGGGAGUCAGAGGAUCUGGCUUCUAAUCCCGACGUGGCCACUUGCCUGCUGCAUGAAUUUGGGUAAGUCACUUGAAUUUUCUGCACCUCAGUUUCUUCAG